ensembl:lncRNA
GUUUACUUAGCCACUGUUUUAAAAAAAGGGAUGAAAUAACAAAAACGCAGAGAAGGAAAGGGCUGAGAGAGAGACUAAGUGGGUGAGUGAGUGAGUGAAGCAAGGAAGGAAGGAGCGUAUGAGUUGUCAAGAUGUCAUGCCAAGUAAUUUUAUGCAUCGCCAUUUCCUUGUGUUUUUGCAGAAAACAGUGUGAAUGUUACCCACAGGUCAUGGUGUCAGUGGACGGGCAGAAUGGAGUUUUGUACAGCUCCAACAAUACUGAUGUGAAUGAGAGGGGUGAUGAGCUAUGGUACAUACUGAACCCAGUGAAAAAGGUCAGAACCUGACAGAAAAGAAGAUCAAAUCAGAAGUCGGUGGACAAAAAGGUUGUGACCUCUUUUGAUGUUCAGCAACAUGCAGGAAUAUUUUGUCUGGUUUCUUUUGGUAUGCUCUGCAUUGUUCAAUACAAAGGUCAGAUAACCGACAUCAUCUCAGUGUGUGAUCUGACAUGAAACUCUGUUAUGAGGGAAUAGUCCUAGGAGAUAAAGAAAUAAAGCAUGAGAGCUUGCACACAACUCAUGCCUCGGCUUUCACAAGAAACUAAAUGUCUUUCAGUUCCAAGGAGUUCAGGGUAGCUCUCUAUUUUCAAAAAAGAAAAAAAGGACAGGAUUAGAAGUUUUAAGCAGUAAUGUAUCUCUAACUUACUUCAAACUAACCAUCAACCACUACCCUGCCGUUAUGAGAAAAGUACAUGAAUUAAG